GGGAUGUGGUUUAUGCAGAAGUGGAAGAAGUCUGGUUCCCUGCUCCAGUUGGCCAUGAAGGACACAGCUGACAUUCGGCAGUCCUUUCUCUACAAACUCAGCCAGAAGCCGGGAUUGGAAUUUUUCAAGCAUGUUUUGCUCUUCGGGUCCAUGCAAGACCGAUACGU